UCCAGGGUAGCCUAGUGGACAUGGCACCUGCCCGGUAAGCGGAAGGUCGUGGGUUCGAUUCCCGCCCCUGGAC